rnacentral:pre_miRNA from 1 species
UAAAGUGCUUGCAGUGCAGGUAGCUGGCGCUGGCGCUACUGCAGUGUGGGGGCUUGCAGC